rnacentral:lncRNA from 1 species
GUGGGAGGGACCUCAGUGACCACUGAGGGGUGGGAUCACAGCAUGGGGGGGUUGGUGGGACCUCAGUGACCAUAGAGCUGUAGGAUCACAGCAUGGGGGGGUUGGAGGGGACGUAAAGGAUCACGGAGUCAUGGAAUAGGGGGCGUUGGAAGGGAUCCUAUAGGUUGUGGAGCAAUGGGAUCACAGCAUGGGGGGGUUGAUUGGAUCUCAAUGACCUCAGAGUUAUGGGAUCACAGCAUGGGGGGGUUGGAGGAGACAUAAAGGAUCAUGGAGUCAUGGAAUAGGGGGUGUUGGAAGGGAUCCUAUAGGCCAUGGAGCAAUAGGAUCACGGCACGGGGGAGUUGAUGGGACCUCAAUGACCACAGAGCGAUGGGAUCACAGCAUGGGGGGGUUGGUGGGACCUCAAUGACCAUAGAGCUAUAGGAUCACGGCAUGGGGGGGUUGGAGGAGACGUAAAGGAUCAUGGAGUCAUGGAAGUGGGGGCGUUGGAAGGGAUCCUAUAGGUUGUGGAGCAAUGGGAUCACAGCGUGGGGGGGUUGAUGGGACCUUAGUGACCAUAGAGCUAUAGGAUCACGGCAUGGGGGGGUUGGAGGAGACAUAAAGGAUCGUGGAAGUGGGGGCGUUGGAAGGGAUCCUAUAGGUCGUGGAGCAAUGGGAUCACAGCUUAGUGGGGUUGAUGGGACCUCAGUGACCACAGAGUGAUGGGAUCACAGCAUGGGGGGGUUGGAGGAGACAAAGGAUCAUGGAGUCAUGGAAUAAGGGGUGUUGGAAGGGAUCCUAUAGGUUGUGGAGCAAUGGGAUCACUGCAUGGGGGGGUUGGUGGGACCUCAAUGACCAUAGAGCUGUAGGAUCAUAGCAUGGGGGGGUUGGAGGAGACAUAAAGGAUCAUGGAAGAGGCGGUGUUGGAAGGGAUCCUAUAGGUUGUG